GACGAACGCUGGCGGCGUGCCUAAUACAUGCAAGUCGAGCGAACAUUUGAGAGCUUGCUCUCAAAUGUUAGCGGCGGACGGGUGAGUAACACGUGGGCAACCUGCCUAUAAGACUGGGAUAACUUCGGGAAACCGGAGCUAAUACCGGAUAAUUCACAUCUACUCAUGUAGAUGUGCUGAAAGACGGUUUACGCUGUCGCUUAUAGAUGGGGCCCGCGGCGCAUUAGCUAGUUGGUGAGGUAACGGCUCACCAAGGCCACGAUGCGUAGCCGACCUGAGAGGGUGAUCGGCCACACUGGGACUGAGACACGGCCCAGACUCCUACGGGAGGCAGCAGUGGGGAAUCUUGCGCAAUGGGCGAAAGCCUGACGCAGCGACGCCGCGUGAGGGAUGACGGGCCU
rnacentral:rRNA from 1 species